rnacentral:rRNA from 1 species
GUGCCAGCAGCCGCGGUAAUUCCAGCUCCAAUAGCGUAUAUUAAAGUUGUUGUGGUUAAAAAGCUCGUAGUUGAACCUUGGGCCUGGCUGGCCGGUCCGCCUCACCGCGUGCACUGGUCCGGCCGGGCCUUUCCCUCUGUGGAACCCCAUACCCUUCACUGGGCGUGGCGGGGAAACAGGACAUUUACUUUGAAAAAAUUAGAGUGCUCCAGGCAGGCCUAUGCUCGAAUACAUUAGCAUGGAAUAAUAAAAUAGGACGCGCGGUUCUAUUUUGUUGGUUUAUAGGACCGCCGUAAUGAUUAAUAGGGACAGUCGGGGGCAUCAGUAUUCAACUGUCAGAGGUAAAAUUCUUGGAUCAGUUGAAGACUAACUACUGCGAAAGCAUUUGCCAAGGAUGUUUUCAUUGAUCAGGAACGAAAGUUAGGGGAUCGAAGACGAUCAGAUACCGUCGUAGUCUUAACCAUAAACUAUGCCGACUAGGGAUCGGACGGUGUUAUUCAUGACCCGUUCGGCACCUUACGAGAAAUCAAAGUGCUUGGGCUCCAGGGGGAGUAUGGUCGCAAGGCUGAAACUUAAAGAAAUUGACGGAAGGGCACCACCAGGGGUGGAGCCUGCGGCUUAAUUUGACUCAACACGGGGAAACUCACCAGGUCUAGACACAAUAAGGAUUGACAGAUUGAGAGCUCUUUCUUGAUUUUGUGGGUGGUGGUGCAUGGCCGUUCUUAGUUGGUGGGGUGACUUGUCUGCUUAAUUGCGAUAACGAACGAGACCUUAAUCUGCUAAAUAGCUCGCAUUGCUCCGGCAGUGCGCUGGCUUCUUAG